AACGAACGCUGGCGGCGUGCCUAACACAUGCAAGUCGAACGAGAAAGUUUCCUUCGGGAAAUCAGUAAAGUGGCGCAAGGGUGAGUAACACGUGAAUAAUCUGCCUACGAAUUCGGGAUAACUCGGCGAAAGUUGUGCUAAUACCGAAUAAGACCACGUCUCUUAUGUGAUGUGGCCAAAGGAGUCUCAAACUCCGUUUGUAGAUGAGUUCGCGCACCAUUAGCUUGUUGGCGGGAUAACAGCCCACCAAGGCUACGAUGGUUAGCCGACCUGAGAGGGUGAUCGGCCACACUGGAACUGAGACACGGUCCAGACUCCUACGGGAGGCAGCAGUGGGGAAUAUUGCGCAAUGGGCGAAAGCCUGACGCAGCAACGCCGUGUGAGGGAUG
rnacentral:rRNA from 1 species